rnacentral:rRNA from 1 species
AAUAUUUCGCACUGGAGGAAACUCUGACGCAGCGACGCCGCGUGAGCGAUGAAGGUCUUCGGAACGUCAAGCUCUGUCCUUGGGGAAACAGAUCGAAAGAUUUGACGGUACCCGAGGAGGAAGCCCCGGCUAACUACGUGCCAGCAUCCGCGGUAAUACGUAGGGGGCAAGCGUUGUCAGGAAUUAUUGGGCGUAAAUGGUGCGUAGGCGGUUUUUUAAGUCAGAUGUGAAAGACCACGGCUUAACCGUGGGGUUGCAUUUGAAACUGGAAGGCUUGAGUAUCGGAGAGGUUAGUGGAAUUCCCAGUGUAGCGGUGAAAUGCGUAGAUAUUGGGAGGAACACCAGUGGCGAAGGCGACUACCUGGACGAAAACUGACGCUGAUGCACGAAAGCUAGGGGAGCAAACAG